rnacentral:rRNA from 1 species
GAUGAACGCUAGCGGCAGGCUUAACACAUGCAAGUCGAGGGGCAGCACGGGUAGCAAUACCUGGUGGCGACCGGCGCAAGGGUGCGUAACGCGUGAGCAACAUGCCCUAUACAGGGGGAUAAUCCAGGGAAACUUGGUCUAAUAUCCCAUAGUAUUUAGAGGAGGCAUCUUCUAUAAAUUAAAGCUUCGGUGGUAUAGGAUUGGCUCGCGUGACAUUAGCUAGAUGGUGAGGUAACGGCUCACCAUGGCAAUGAUGUCUAGGGGUUCUGAGAGGAAGGCCCCCAACUGGAACUGAGACACGGUCCAGACUCCUACGGGAGGCAGCAGUGAGGAAUAUUGGACAAUGGUCGGAAGACUGAUCCAGCCAUGCCGCGUGAAGGUUACGGUCCUAUGGAUUUUAAACUCUUUUGUAUGGAAGCAAUAAGGUGCACGCGUGCAUCGAUGAGAGUACCAUACGAAUAAGCAUCGGCUAA